rnacentral:rRNA from 1 species
GACGAACGCUGGCGGCGUGCUUAACACAUGCAAGUCGAACGGUGAAGCGCCUUCCUUUUUGGUGGGUGUGGAUGAGUGGCGAACGGGUGAGUAACACGUGAGUAACCUGCCCCCUUCUUCUGGAUAACCGCAUGAAAGUGUGGCUAAUACGGGAUAUUUUGGGUCUGUCGCAUGAUGGGUCUGGGAAAGAUAUUGUUUCGGUGGGGGAUGGGCUCGCGGCCUAUCAGCUUGUUGGUGGGGUGAUGGCCUACCAAGGCGGUGACGGGUAGCCGGCCUGAGAGGGUGGACGGUCACACUGGGACUGAGACACGGCCCAGACUCCUACGGGAGGCAGCAGUGGGGAAUAUUGCACAAUGGGCGCAAGCCUGAUGCAGCGACGCCGCGUGAGGGAUGGAGGCCUUCGGGUUGUGAACCUCUUUCGCCAGUGAAGCAGGCCUGCCUCGUUUGUGGGUGGGUUGACGGUAGCUGGAGAAGAAGCGCCGGCUAACUACGUG